rnacentral:rRNA from 1 species
UUUGAUCCUGGCUCAGGAUGAACGCUGGCGGCGUGCCUAACACAUGCAAGUCGAACGGGGCGCGCAGGCUGAGGCUUUUCGGAGCGGAAGCCGGCGCUGCCCAGUGGCGGACGGGUGAGUAACGCGUGGGCAACCUGCCCUGCACUGGGGGACAACAGCCGGAAACGGCUGCUAAUACCGCAUAUGCCCGCAGCCCCGCAUGGGGCGGCGGGGGAAGCUCCGGCGGUGCAGGAUGGGCCCGCGUCUGAUUAGCUGGUUGGCGGGGCAACGGCCCACCAAGGCGACGAUCAGUAGCCGGCCUGAGAGGGUGGGCGGCCACAUUGGGACUGAGACACGGCCCAGACUCCUACGGGAGGCAGCAGGUGGGGGAUAUUGCACAAUGGGGGGAACCCUGAUGCAGCGACGCCGCGUGGGCGAUGGAGUGCUUCGGCAUGUAAAGCCCUAUCAGCAGGGAAGAAAAUGACGGUACCUGACUAAGAAGCCCCGGCUAAAUACGUG